GGCAAACUUGGACACGACUUAAUAUGCACGCCUAUGUAGGAUUUAGUUCCCUGACUAGGGAUGGAACCUGGGUCCCCUGCAUUGGGAGUGUGGAGUCUUAGCCACUGGACCACCAGGGAAAUCCCCUGAGUCCUUAUUUUUAGCUACUAAGGAACCCCCUCUGCUUCUCUGGAACAUAUCAGCCCCAUAGGAUUAUGGGAGAAUCAUAUCAAGCAGGCGUGGAGAGAGCUUUGCGAACUGUAGAGGACGGGGCCCCUGACGGUGCAUUAUUAUCCUGCUCCUGGUGUGCACUUCCCCUUGUGCGUGUGAGCCCCUUGAGGGCAGGGCUGGAUGCUCAUGGCAUCCUCAGGGCCCAGCACGGAGCCUGGUACCCAGUGGGCAGUCUGGGGAGCAGGGAAAUGCCCACUUCCUCACCCAUCCCCAUGAGGCCCAGAUCCACUUCCUAGUGUUCAUGGUCGAGGCAAGGAUAGUCAGUCUCUGCCUCCUGAUUCACUUCGUUCAGAGGAAGGGGUGACCUUCUCUUCCUCCUUGGUUGCAAUAGGCUGGCACCUGGACUCCCACGCGGGGCCCAGAGGGAGAGGGCUUCGUGGCGGGAGAUCCCUCGCAGGCCCCAAGAAAGCAGCAGGGCGGGCGGAAUAUAAAUGCGCCUGUGAACGCGGAGGAACAGAUGAGAGCGAGCCUCCAGGUGACUGGGUGGAGAGGACCCACAGGGGCAGCCGCCUCCUCUCGGCGCACAGAUUGAGCCCAUGAUGAAGAUGAAUGGAAACCCCUUUGCUGGAAAAUGUGGCGGCAAUCAAGACGCUACCUGGGCCGGGGGCCCUCCUACCAGCUCCGCGCAGGGAAAUGUUAGGGUUCGGAAUUUCAGCACCAGCCACAUGGUUAGCACGGAAAGCAGGCAAAACUCGUGAUAAGCAGCCCCAAUUAGAGGAUAAAUGAUACAGGAUGCCCGUUAGUUUGGCAGGAAUCUAUGGACUCAGCGGCUGCGGCUCAGACGGACCUGUUCUCUGGAGGCCAUUUCUACCCUCAAGUGGGGUCUUGUCAUCCUUCUUCAGCAGUUAUGCACUCACAGACUGCUUGUGACUCUGAGCAAGUGCCAGCGCCAGCACCAACGACUCAGUUUCUUCAUCUGUAUAAUGGGUUUGUGAUCCUCUGGCUGUUGGGAUGGGUGUUCAGCGGCUCUUCUAGGCCCCAGUCAGAAACUGGAUGGUGAAGUUUCCUUCUGUACCCACUAGAUUCUGGGCUGCCAUUAAGACGCAGGCCCCAGGGUCCCCCAGACAGCCCUGAACAAGGCAAAUCUGCAUCUGCUGCUACCAUGGGGGCCCAGCACAGAGCCUGGCACAUAGGGACUGCUUGCCCAGUGCUGGGUGGAACUGGCCUGGUGUUUCCUGUCCACGACCCCGGGCAUCCCGGUGUCCCUCUGGGAUGAUGUGGCUGACAGUCUCAGUUUGCCCAGGAUGUUUCCCAGGAUGUGGGCUUUUUAGGACUAAAACAGGGACAGUCAGUCAGUUUGCUCUCAAAAUCCCAGGAAACUCUGCUUUUCCAAGUUCCCCGAAAUGAAAAAUGGAGCUAACUUUAUCUUCAAUGCUUGCAAACGUGUGGAAGGCCCAAGGGUUAUUUAUUAUCAUCAAUAAAUUAUAA